AACGAAGUGGGAAGGCUAAAACAGUCAGGAUGUUGGCUUAGAAGCAGCCAUCAUUUAAAGAAAGCGUAAUAGCUCACUGAUCGAGUCGUCCUGCGCGGAAGAUGUAACGGGGCUAAGCCAGUUACCGAAGCUGCGGAUCUGCACGCAAGUGCAGGUGGUAGGAGAGCGUUCUGUAAGCCUGUGAAGGUGGCUUGUAAAGGCUGCUGGAGGUAUCAGAAGUGCGAAUGCUGACAUGAGUAGCGUUAAAGCGGGUGAAAAGCCCGCUCGCCGUAAGCGCAAGGUUUUCUACGCAACGUUCAUCGGCGUAGAGUGAGUCGGCCCCUAAGGCGAGGCAGAGAUGCGUAGCUGAUGGGAAACAGGUCAAUAUUCCUGUACCGAUCGAUAGUGCGAUGUGGGGACGGAGAAGGUUAGCUCAGCCAACUGUUGGAUAUGUUGGUUCAAGCCUGUAGUCGUGCCUGGUAGGCAAAUCCGCCGGGCUUAGAUGAGGGGUGAUAACGAGGCUGCUUGCAGCCGAAGUGAGUGAUACCCUGCUUCCAGGAAAAGCCACUAAGCUUCAGCUAUUGACGACCGUACCGCAAACCAAC
rnacentral:rRNA from 14 species